ACGGCGAGUGAAGCGGCAACAGCUCAAAUUUGAAAUCUGGCUUCGGCCCGAGUUGUAAUUUGCAGAGGAUGUUUCUGGCGCGGUGCCUUCCGAGUUCCCUGGAACGGGACGCCACAGAGGGUGAGAGCCCCGUAUGGUUGGACACCAAGCCUGUGUGAAACUCCUUCGACGAGUCGAGUAGUUUGGGAAUGCUGCUCUAAAUGGGAGGUAAAUCUCUUCUAAAGCUAAAUACCGGCCAGAGACCGAUAGCGCACAAGUAGAGUGAUCGAAAGAUGAAAAGCACCUUGAAAAGGGGGUUAAACAGUACGUGAAAUUGUUGAAAGGGAAGCACUUAUGACCAGACUUGUGCCGGGCGGCUCAUCCGGGGUUCUCCCCGGUGCACUCCGCCCGGUAUAGGCCAGCAUCGGUUCUUUCUGGGGGAUAAGAACGGUGGGAACGUGGCCCUCCUUCGGGAGGGUGUUAUAGCCCGCCGUACGAUACCCUGGAGGGGACCGAGGUUCGCGCUCCGCAAGGAUGCUGGCAUAAUGGUCAUCAGUGACCCGUCUUGAAACACGGACCAAGGAGUCGUCCAUUAGAGCGAGCGUUUGGGUGUAAAACCCGCACGCGUAAUGAAAGUGAAAUUAGGUGAGAGCUUCGGCGCAUCAUCGACCGAUCCUGAUGUUCUCGGAUGGAUUUGAGUAAGAGUUUUAACGGACGGACCCGAAAGACAGUGAACUAUGCUUGUAUAGGGUGAAGCCAGAGGAAACUCUGGUGGAGGCUCGCAGCGGUUCUGACGUGCAAAUCGAUCGUCAAAUAUGAGCAUGGGGGCGAAAG
rnacentral:rRNA from 1 species